GACGAACCGUGCGAACGUUGUUCGGAAUCACUGGGCUUAAAGGGCGCGUAGGCGGGCUGCCAAGUCUGGGGUGAAAUCCUUCGGCUCAACCGGAGAACGGCCUCGGAUACUGGCGGUCUCGAGGGAGGUAGGGGCGUGCGGAACUAAGGGUGGAGCGGUGAAAUGCGUUGAUAUCCUUAGGAACUCCGGUGGCGAAGGCGGCACGCUGGACCUCUUCUGACGCUGAGGCGCGAAAGCCAGGGGAGCAAACGGG
rnacentral:rRNA from 1 species